ensembl:snoRNA
UGGACCAAUGGUGAAGACUGGUGGCAUACGAGUCAUGGAUGAUGAAAAUACGUGUUUGACACUCAGGUCUGA